rnacentral:ncRNA from 1 species
CUUUAUCUUGUGCUGGUUCCCAUCGUCAGGCACCAGAUGUAGGGGAUAACCCUUCGUGUGGCGGUGAUGGGAAGCAAGAGGGAAUCCGGUGGGAAACCGGAACUGCCCCGCAGCGGUAACAGGGAACGACGGCGACAUCACGCACUGGCCAGCUGACUGGGAAGCGUCGCUCGGUAGGAACCCGUCUAACGACGGAGGGCCCUGAAGUCCGAAUACCUGCCAGUACCCGGGUCAACGA